AAUGUAAUAUCUGACUAUAAUACAGUACAUCAAACUCAUUAACCCCAUACCAACUUAAUUCAGCAUGUACUUAAAAAGCAGUAAGAUAAAUUCAGUCUAACAUAUUAUUUCAAAUAAAAACCUCAACUGCUAUAAGAAAAGUCUGUGAUUUGUGCCUUAGAUUGUUUAAAAAAUGAAUUAAAAAUGCAAGAUGAUGGAGUCAAAUCUUGUCCCCACAAAAUACAUAAUUUAAUCUAGCUGACACACCUGCACAAACAGUCUCCCAUAUUCUGUGUUGGGCGGAGCUGAGAAGACUUGAGAGUGGAAAACCAUGCUGAAAUGAACCCAGUGUGCACCUGUUGAGCAGACAGUCAGCUGCAGUAUACUGGUGUAUCUCAAGAUCAUCGCUCACAAGCCUUGAUUUGGAGAAAGAGAACGGGGAACAGCAAAAUGGGAGUAUAUAGAGAGGUUCUGAUCCUCUCUUUUCUAGUCCAGUGGGCUACAGUAUUGUCCCAGGGUAUGAAGGAGAUGCCCGUCAACCAGUCAACAAUAGGAUUUCCGAGACUACCUGCAGACUUCAGGGAAAUGGCCAAAAAAAUGGUAACUUAGUACCACGCAAUCCUUACAUCUCAUACUGAAAAUACAGUCAUGUGCCAAG
ensembl:lncRNA